rnacentral:rRNA from 1 species
CACUGACCGUGAUAAUGUAGCGUAAUCAAUAGCCAAUUAAUUGUUGGCCGGUAUGAAUGGCAUCACGAAGGCCCCACUGUCUUAAGAGGACUUCCCAUGAAAUUGAAUUCGUAGUGAAGAUGCUACGUCCAUAUUGUAAGACGAAAAGACCCCAUUGAGCUUUACUAAAGACUUGUAUGGCUCAAAAUAACUUAAAUAAAAAGUUUAGAUAAUGUGGGAUCCGUUUUUGGUUAAUGAAACACCACUCUUUUAUUUUAAGAGAGCUAACCUUGUAGGGAGAAUGCAAGUUGGAUAGUUUGGUUGGGGCGACCACCUUUUAAAAGGUAACGAAGGUGAGCUUAAGGUCCGUAGUUAAUAGCUGGUGGCCUGACUGCAAGGGGGACACCCCGAGCAGACACGUCCUUAGGGAUGUGGGUUAUAGUGACCCGUCA